GGGUGGUAAUGCCGGAUGUUCCAGUUGAUCGCAUGGUCUUCUGGGAAAGCUUUCGCGGUAUGGGAUGGGGUCGCGUCCUAUCAGCUUGACGGCGGGGUAACGGCCCACCGUGGCUUCGACGGGUAGCCGGCCUGAGAGGGCGACCGGCCACAUUGGGACUGAGAUACGGCCCAGACUCCUACGGGAGGCAGCAGUGGGGAAUAUUGCACAAUGGGCGCAAGCCUGAUGCAGCGACGCCGCGUGAGGGAUGGAGGCCUUCGGGUUGUAAACCUCUUUUAUCGGGGAGCAAGCGAGAGUGAGUUUACCCGUUGAAUAAGCACCGGCUAACUACGUGCCAGCAGCCGCGGUAAUACGUAGGGUGCAAGCGUUAUCCGGAAUUAUUGGGCGUAAAGGGCUCGUAGGCGGUUCGUCGCGUCCGGUGUGAAAGUCCAUCGCUUAACGGUGGAUCCGCGCCGGGUACGGGCGGGCUUGAGUGCGGUAGGGGAGACUGGAAUUCCCGGUGUAACGGUGGAAUGUGUAGAUAUCGGA
rnacentral:rRNA from 1 species